rnacentral:rRNA from 1 species
UCGGCCCCGCAAGGGACUGACUUAGUGGCGAACGGGUGAGUAACGCGUGAGCAACCUGCCUUUCAGUGGGGGGACAACAGUUGGAAACGACUGCUAAUACCGCAUAAUGCAUUUUGACCGCAUGAUCGAGAUGCCAAAGAUUUAUUGCUGAAAGAUGGGCUCGCGUCUGAUUAGAUAGUUGGUGGGGUAACGGCCCACCAAGUCGACGAUCAGUAGCCGACCUGAGAGGGUGAUCGGCCACAUUGGGACUGAGACACGGCCCAAACUCC